GGACGUGUGCCCGAACGACAAGGACUACUUUGAUAGAGUAACAAACAGGGGUUCAACUCCCCUCACCUCCC
rnacentral:tRNA from 1 species